CCCUUAGAUGUCCUGGGCCGCACGCGUGCUACACUGAGUGGAUCAGCGGGUCAGGUUGCGCGAAAGCGUUUCCUAAUCUUUAAAUCCGCUCGUGAUGGGGAUUGACGGUUGCAAUUUUCUGUCAUGAACGAGGAAUACCUUGUAAGCGCGGGUCAUCAUCCCGCGCUGAAUACGUCCCUGCCCUUUGUACACACCGCCCGUCGCUCCUACCGAUUGAAUGCUCAGGUGAGCCAUUCGGACUUUCAUCAUGCUGGUUUCCAGUUUUGAUGAAGGAAAGUCUUGCGAACCUUAUCAUUUAGAGGAAGGAGAAGUCGUAACA
rnacentral:rRNA from 1 species